AUGUAUUUGGCGAGUGCCACGAGGCCUGACAUCUCUUUUGCUGUGAGCAAGCUGAGUCGGUUUGUGUCAAAACCGGGAGAUGAUCAUUGGCAUGCUCUUGAGAGAGUUAUUCGCUAUUUGAAAGGCUACGCGAGCUAUGGGAUUCACUACACCGGGUAUCCAAGGGUACUGCAGGGUUAUAGUGACUUAAACUGGAUAUCUGAUUCUGAUGAGAUAAAGCCCACGAGUGGUUAUGUUUUUACACUUGGUGGUGGCGCUAUUUCCUGGAAGUCUUGCAAGCAGACCAUCUUAAUGAGGUCAACUAUGGAAGCAGAACUCACAGCAUUAGACACUGCCACUGUUGAAGCAGAGUGGCUUCGUGAACUCUUGAUGGACUUACCUAUGGUUGAAAAACCAAUACCCCCUAUCCUGAUGAACUGUGAUAAUCAAACUGUGAUUGUCAAGAUAAACAGUUCGAAGGACAAUAUGAAGUCCUCAAGACAUGUGAAGAGGAGACUAAAAUCUGUCAGAAAAUUGAGGAACUCCGGAGUUAUUACGUUGGAUUAUAUCCAAACAUCGAAAAACAUGGCAGAUCCCUUCACAAAGGGUCUAUCACAUAAUGUGAUAGAUAAUGCAUCGAUGGAGAUGGGUUUGAGACCCACCGCAUGA
rnacentral:rRNA from 1 species